rnacentral:rRNA from 1 species
UCCUCCCUCUGGCGGCGUGCCUAAUACAUGCAAGUAGAACGCUGAAGGAGGAGCUUGCUUCUCUGGAUGAGUUGCGAACGGGUGAGUAACGCGUAGGUAACCUGCCUGGUAGCGGGGGAUAACUAUUGGAAACGAUAGCUAAUACCGCAUAAGAGUAGAUGUCGCAUGACAUUUGCUUAAAAGGUGCAAUUGCAUCACUACCAGAUGGACCUGCGUUGUAUUAGCUAGUUGGUGAGGUAACGGCUCACCAAGGCAACGAUACAUAGCCGACCUGAGAGGGUGAUCGGCCACACUGGGACUGAGACACGGCCCAGACUCCUACGGGAGGCAGCAGUAGGGAAUCUUCGGCAAUGGACGGAAGUCUGACCGAGCAACGCCGCGUGAGUGAAGAAGGUUUUCGGAUCGUAAAGCUCUGUUGUAAGAGAAGAACGAGUGUGAGAGUGGAAAGUUCACACUGUGACGGUAGCUUACCAGAAAGGGACGGCUAACUACGUG